CUUCCGGUUCCUCCACCAAAGAUUAAGCUCUCAAAUAGGGGUGAGUAAAAUAGCUGGGCUGGUCCAGUGGUAUAAUUCAGUUAUCAAACUUCAGGGAAUGGUUGGCAAUAUGAGCAAUAUGUUGCUGUACUGCUUCUGGUUUUGGAAUUUCUUUUAGCAACCACAGGACAAAAUGCAAUGCUGCUCGAGUUACCUGCACCCCCAGAACUGGCUAACACCAUCAAUAGACGACCAGAGAGUCCUGCAUCUUCAGACAUUUCUGGAUGUUCUUGUCCAACGCCUCAUUGUUCACCCACAAGGUCUGAAUCAGCAGAAGCAUUUAGUCCAGGGUCAGCCAGAUCUAACCGUUCUCACACACCUCAGCGUGGAGUUUGUAAUCCAUCACAUUUUGGGAGCAGAAAAGGUUGGGCAUCCUCAUCCAGUGAGUCAAUGAUCAGUUGCAUUCUUCACUGCGGGGGCACGAUGAGUCAGUGGACUCCCUGAAUCCUGGAAUAUUGAGAUGCA